UACGUAGGGACCAAGCGUUGUUCGGAUUUACUGGGCGUAAAGGGCGCGUAGGCGGCAAUUCAAGUCAUCUGUGAAAUCUCCGAGCUUAACUCGGAACGGUCAGAUGAUACUGCUUUGCUAGAGUGCAGAAGGGGCAACCGGAAUUCUUGGUGUAGCGGUGAAAUGCGUAGAUAUCAAGAGGAACACCUGAGGUGAAGACGGGUUGCUGGGCUGACACUGACGCUGAGGCGCGAAAGCUAGGGUAGCAAACGGG
rnacentral:rRNA from 1 species